CUCACCAAUUGAAGACAAUGCUUGCGAUGGAUCUGGUGAUGAUGAGAUCGAGCACGAGAGGAUGUCUGUAUCUUCUCAGUCAGAGAUGGCAUGUCUCCGCCCAUGGACUCCGCCAAAAAGAUUAUGAGAAACCCGGUAGGCAUGGGAGUGAGGAAAAGACGAAAGUACCUCCGAAAGGGUAACGGGGCAUUUUGGAGUGGAAGGACAACAUUCCUGUUGGGGAUUAGGCUGUCAGAUUUAAUAACUUGAUUGGCUGUUUAAUAAGAGAUCCACGCUCCAUUAAUAUUGCUCAUAAUUUUGAGGAGCAAGAAUUUAAAUGCAUAAAAAAGAUUUGGGAGAAGCUCAUGGAUCAUUAUUGUCUUGAAGACAACCCAGAGUCUUAGGAUUAUGUUAUCCCGAAAAUGGCCAAGCUUAUUCGGGGUUGGAAGAGUGAUCUAAAGAAAAGAUAUUUCACAAAUUUAUCUACUGAUUGGAAGAGGAUCUAUGAGCUUGAUAAGAGAGUUCCUCCAUUUAAUUGGAUGACUCUCAUUAUCGAGUGGGAGGGUGAGAAGAAGAAAAUAUGUGAAACGGCAUCGGCGAAUCGUAGAUCAAAGCUAUAUGAUCACUUUUUAG